AAAGUCUGGCCUGCCCACUGAAGGAGUUUAAAGGGCCGCGGUAAUUUGACCGUGCGAAGGUAGCAUAAUCAAUAGUCUCUUAAUUGGAGGCUGGAAUGAAUGGUCGGACAAGGAGUAGACUGUCUUUACCAUAUUUAGUGAAGUUUACCUUUAAGUGAAAAGGCUUAAAUAUAUUUAAGGGACGAUAAGACCCUAUAAAACUUUACAGUAUAGUUCAUACUCUAUAAAAUAAUAUGUAAUGUUGGUUAUGAGUUACCUGUUAUGUUGGGGUGACAAAGAUAUAAAUAAGUAACUGUCAGGCAAUAAAAAUAAUAAUAAUUAGUUUAAUUGAUCCUUUAUUAGAGAUUAAAAGAUUAAGUUACUUUAGGGAUAACAGCGUAAUUUUCUUUGAGAGUCCUUAUCGACAAGAAUAGUUGCGACCUCGAUGUUGAAUUAAGAUUUCUUUUAAAUGUAGCAGUUUAGUUAGUAGGUCUGUUCGACC
rnacentral:rRNA from 1 species